rnacentral:rRNA from 1 species
GACGAACGCUGGCGGCGUGCCUAAUACAUGCAUGUUGAGCGCUGAAGGUUGGUACUUGUACCAACUGGAUGAGCAGCGAACGGGUGAGUAACGCGUGGGGAAUCUGCCUUUGAGCGGGGGACAACAUUUGGAAACGAAUGCUAAUACCGCAUAAAAACUUUAAACACAAGUUUUAAGUUUGAAAGAUGCAAUUGCAUCACUCAAAGAUGAUCCCGCGUUGUAUUAGCUAGUUGGUGAGGUAAAGGCUCACCAAGGCGAUGAUACAUAGCCGACCUGAGAGGGUGAUCGGCCACAUUGGGACUGAGACACGGCCCAAACUCCUACGGGAGGCAGCAGUAGGGAAUCUUCGGCAAUGGACGAAAGUCUGACCGAGCAACGCCGCGUGAGUGAAGAAGGUUUUCGGAUCGUAAAACUCUGUUGGUAGAGAAGAACGUUGGUGAGAGUGGAAAGCUCAUCAAGUGACGGUAACUACCCAGAAAGGGACGGCUAACUACGUGC